GCCAGGAUAGCUCAGUGGUAGAGCAACUGAUUCGUAAUCAGUAGGUCGAGGGUUCGACUCCCUUUUCUGGCUCCA
rnacentral:tRNA from 1 species